GACGAACGCUGGCGGCGUGCUUAACACAUGCCAGUCGAACGGAAAGGCCUCUUUCGGGGGGUACUCGAGUGGCGAACGGGUGAGUAACACGUGAGUAACCUGCCCUUGACUUUGGGAUAACUUCAGGAAACUGGGGCUAAUACCGGAUAGGAGCUCCUGCUGCAUGGUGGGGGUUGGAAAGUUUCGGCGGUUGGGGAUGGACUCGCGGCUUAUCAGCUUGUUGGUGGGUAGUUGCCUACCAAGGGCUUGACGGGUAGCCGGGCCGGGAGGGUGACCGGCCACAUUGGGACUGAGAUACGGCCCAGACUCCUACGGGAGGCAGGAGGGGGGAAUAUUGCACAAUGGGGGGAAGCCUGAUGCAGCCACGCCGUGUGCGGGAUGACGGCCUUCGGGUUGUAAACCGCUUUCGCUCAUGACGAAGCUUUGUGUGACGGUAGUGGGUAAAGAAGCACCGGCUAACUACGUG
rnacentral:rRNA from 1 species